AUGAACGCUGGCGGCGUGCCUAAUACAUGCAAGUCGAGCGAACAGACGAGGAGCUUACUCCUCUGACGUUAGCGGCGGACGGGCGAGUAACACGUGGAUAACCUACCUAUAAGACUGGGAUAACUUCGGGAAACCGGAGCUAAUACCGGAUAACAUGUUAAACCGCAUGGUUCAACAGUGAAAGACGGUCUUGCUGUCACUUAUAGAUGAAUCCGCGUCGCAUUAGCUAGUUGGUAAGGUAACGGCUUACCAAGGCAACGAUGCGUAGCCGACCUGAGAGGGUGAUCGGCCACACUGGAACUGAGACACGGUCCAGACUCCUACGGGAGGCAGCAGUAGGGAAUCUUCCGCAAUGGGCGAAAGCCUGACGGAGCAACGCCGCGUGAGUGAAGAAGGUCUUCGGAUCGUAAAACUCUGUUAUUAGGGAAGAACAAAUGUGUAAGUAACUAUGCACGUCUUGACGGUACCUAAUCAGAAAGCCACGGCUAACUACGUG
rnacentral:rRNA from 1 species